GUGUGUUUGCAUGCUAGGCAAUGUGGUGUUAAAGCUUGUACCUGGGAUCGUGUACCUACCCGAAGUCUAAAUCCGAUUGUGGCUUUGGAUUCAUUCCAUAGCGGGUGAAAGUCCCGUGCGGGUAGGACUCAUUCUAAUCACACGGUCCUCAGAUGUGCAUGCUUUCGAGUCGGAUUGCUUGAGAAUGCAGUCCAAAGUGGGUGGUAAACUCCAUCCAAGGCUAAAUACUGGCACGAGUCCGAUAGUAGACAAGUACCGUGAGGGAAAGUUGAAAAGUACUCUGAAGAGAGAGUAAAUAGUACGUGAAGCCGAUUGCAGGGAAGCUGGUGGAGUCAAGCUUCGUGCUUGAGGGAUUGAUGCUGGGAGCAGGUGUGUGAUUUGGAUGUGAGGUUGGACGACUUGGAAUAAGUUGGGCGUGUUCUGAAUGCGCUUCAAGUCAUUCUGGGUAGAGUGUUAUGAGCCAGCCUCGCUUUCCUACUCUCAGUGUUGUAUUCUUCGCUGCACAGGCCACAGUCAAUAGGCGCAUGCGGUAUGAAGGCCUAACUGUGCUUCGGCGGGUGCAAGCUCUCCGGGUGCAGGAUGGCAGGUGCUGUCUUCGGGCCUUGUGUUCGUUGAUAGUUGUUGUGGUUUCGACCGGCUGGUCUUCAUACUG
rnacentral:rRNA from 2 species